rnacentral:sRNA from 1 species
CAAUAGCCCUGAUGGAAGCGGCAUCCUUUUUAUCUGCUUUUUUUGCAGAUGAAAAGAUACAGCGGACAGCAGGAAUAGCU